rnacentral:rRNA from 1 species
UACGUAGGUGGCGAGCGUUGUCCGGAUUUACUGGGCGUAAAGGGCGUGCAGGCGGUUUGUUAAGUGCAGAGUGAAAGCUCCCGGCUCAACUGGGAGAGGUCUUUGCAUACUGGCAAACUCGAGGGAGGCAGAGGAAAGUGGAAUUCCCGGUGUAGUGGUGAUAUGCGUAGAUAUCGGGAGGAACACCUGUGGCGAAGGCGGCUUUCUGGGCCUCACCUGACGCUGAGACGCGAAAGCGUGGGGAGCGAACCGG